GGGUUGUGAGGUUAAGCGACUAAGCGUACACGGUGGAUGCCCUGGCAGUCAGAGGCGAUGAAGGACGUGCUAAUCUGCGAUAAGCGUCGGUGAGGUGAUAUGAACCGUUAUAACCGGCGAUUUCCGAAUGGGGAAACCCAGUGUGUUUCGACACACUAUCAUUAACUGAAUCCAUAGGUUAAUGAGGCGAACCGGGGGAACUGAAACAUCUAAGUACCCCGAGGAAAAGAAAUCAACCGAGAUUCCCCCAGUAGCGGCGAGCGAACGGGGAGGAGCCCAGAGCCUGAAUCAGUGUGUGUGUUAGUGGAAGCGUCUGGAAAGGCGCGCGAUACAGGGUGACAGCCCCGUACACAAAAAUGCACAUAUUGUGAGCUCGAUGAGUAGGGCGGGACACGUGGUAUCCUGUCUGAAUAUGGGGGGACCAUCCUCCAAGGCUAAAUACUCCUGACUGACCGAUAGUGAACCAGUACCGUGAGGGAAAGGCGAAAAGAACCCCGGCGAGGGGAGUGAAAAAGAACCUGAAACCGUGUACGUACAAGCAGUGGGAGCCUCUUAAUGGGGUGACUGCGUACCUUUUGUAUAAUGGGUCAGCGACUUAUAUUCUGUAGCAAGGUUAACCGAAUAGGGGAGCCGAAGGGAAACCGAGUCUUAACUGGGCGUUAAGUUGCAGGGUAUAGACCCGAAACCCGGUGAUCUAGCCAUGGGCAGGUUGAAGGUUGGGUAACACUAACUGGAGGACCGAACCGACUAAUGUUGAAAAAUUAGCGGAUGACUUGUGGCUGGGGGUGAAAGGCCAAUCAAACCGGGAGAUAGCUGGUUCUCCCCGAAAGCUAUUUAGGUAGCGCCUCGUGAAUUCAUCUCCGGGGGUAGAGCACUGUUUCGGCAAGGGGGUCAUCCCGACUUACCAACCCGAUGCAAACUGCGAAUACCGGAGAAUGUUAUCACGGGAGACACACGGCGGGUGCUAACGUCCGUCGUGAAGAGGGAAACAACCCAGACCGCCAGCUAAGGUCCCAAAGUCAUGGUUAAGUGGGAAACGAUGUGGGAAGGCCCAGACAGCCAGGAUGUUGGCUUAGAAGCAGCCAUCAUUUAAAGAAAGCGUAAUAGCUCACUGGUCGAGUCGGCCUGCGCGGAAGAUGUAACGGGGCUAAACCAUGCACCGAAGCUGCGGCAGCGACACUAUGUGUUGUUGGGUAGGGGAGCGUUCUGUAAGCCUGUGAAGGUGUACUGUGAGGUAUGCUGGAGGUAUCAGAAGUGCGAAUGCUGACAUAAGUAACGAUAAAGCGGGUGAAAAGCCCGCUCGCCGGAAGACCAAGGGUUCCUGUCCAACGUUAAUCGGGGCAGGGUGAGUCGACCCCUAAGGCGAGGCCGAAAGGCGUAGUCGAUGGGAAACAGGUUAAUAUUCCUGUACUUGGUGUUACUGCGAAGGGGGGACGGAGAAGGCUAUGUUGGCCGGGCGACGGUUGUCCCGGUUUAAGCGUGUAGGCUGGUUUUCCAGGCAAAUCCGGAAAAUCAAGGCUGAGGCGUGAUGACGAGGCACUACGGUGCUGAAGCGACAAAUGCCCUGCUUCCAGGAAAAGCCUCUAAGCAUCAGGUAACAUCAAAUCGUACCCCAAACCGACACAGGUGGUCAGGUAGAGAAUACCAAGGCGCUUGAGAGAACUCGGGUGAAGGAACUAGGCAAAAUGGUGCCGUAACUUCGGGAGAAGGCACGCUGAUAUGUAGGUGAAGCGACUUGCUCGUGGAGCUGAAAUCAGUCGAAGAUACCAGCUGGCUGCAACUGUUUAUUAAAAACACAGCACUGUGCAAACACGAAAGUGGACGUAUACGGUGUGACGCCUGCCCGGUGCCGGAAGGUUAAUUGAUGGGGUUAGCGGUAACGCGAAGCUCUUGAUCGAAGCCCCGGUAAACGGCGGCCGUAACUAUAACGGUCCUAAGGUAGCGAAAUUCCUUGUCGGGUAAGUUCCGACCUGCACGA
rnacentral:rRNA from 1 species